rnacentral:lncRNA from 1 species
AUAUGUAUCUUACCCAUGAUUCUCUGUCUGUGAAGAAGACACAAUGCAGUGGAUGGAAACACAAAGAGAAUGUGAAAGACUAUUACCAGAAAUGGAUGGAAGAGCAGGCCCAGAGCCUGACUGACAAAAAACAACAGCUGCAUUUCAACAAGGAAAGAUCCCUCCAGCUCCAUUCUCUGCUCCUCCUCCUCCUCCUCCUCUUACAGGGGCCAUGCUCCCACUUCCCCCCAGUCUCCUGGGCCCUCCUCCUGGCAUGAUGCCUGCAUCCCACAUGGGAGGUCGUCCCAUGAUACCAAUGCUGGCCCCUCCUUCUCCUGGA